AUUGAACGCUGGCGGCAUGCUUUACACAUGCAAGUCGAACGGCAGCGCGGGCUUCGGCCUGGCGGCGAGUGGCGAACGGGUGAGUAAUACAUCGGAACGUGCCCAGUAGUGGGGGAUAGCUCGUCGAAAGCCGGAUUAAUACCGCAUACGACCUGAGGGUGAAAGCGGGGGAUCUUCGGACCUCUCGCUAUUGGAGCGGCCGAUGGCAGAUUAGCUAGUUGGUUGGGUAAAGGCCUACCAAGGCGACGAUCUGUAGCUGGUCUGAGAGGACGACCAGCCACACGGGGAGUGAGACACGGCCAAGAGUACUACGGGAGGCAGCAGUGGGGAAUUUUGGACAAUGGGCGAAAGCAUGAUCCAGCAAUGCCGCGUGUGUGAUGAAGGCGUUCGGGUUGUAAAGAACUUUUGGCGGGAACGAAAAGGACUGUGCCAAUACCACGGUUCGAUGACGGUACCCGCAGAAGAAGCACCGGCUAACUACGUG
rnacentral:rRNA from 1 species